rnacentral:lncRNA from 1 species
CUAAAUAUGAAUAAAGACAUAGGUUCCUCAUCUGUAACCUAAUCUAAUGUAUAUAUAUAUCUUAAAAUGGAGGCAGAGCCUCCAUGUGCAAUGUAUACAUCUAAUAUAUAUAUAUAGAGAGAGACUUUAUAUUGAUAGAGCUUCCAUACGUACGUAUAAAAGUUAUUCUCAAAGUUUGAAAUUAUAAUUUGCCAUAUUAAAAGCUUUUUUGAUAUUUAAUCUGCCAUGUGC